UACCUGGUUGAUCCUGCCAGUAGUCAUAUGCUUGUUUCGAGGAUUAAGCCAUGCAAGUCUCAGAGUAAAUGGAAUAAAGUAGAUCUGCGAACAGCUCAUUAAACCAGCGAUAACCUACGCGAGAAAACUGCUUUUAGCAGACAAUUGGAUAACUUUGGUAACUACAAAGCUAACACAUGUCAGUAAAGCUUGUUUCACAUCAAACUGUGCCUCCGGGUACGGGGUGGGAUGAGCGGACAUAACCGAAAUGGAAACCAGCGCUUGCAAAAGCAGUGGUUAUUGGAUGAAUCAGGUUAUCUAUCCAGUAGCGGACGCUUCGUGUGCCGCAAGCUCGCAAGGGUUUCUGCCCCAUCAGCUUGUCGAUAGGGUAUUGGCCUAUCGUGGCUUUCACGGGUAACGGGGAAUUAGGGUUCGAUUCCGGAGAGGGAGCCUGAGAAACGGCUACCACAACUAAGGUUGGCAGCAGGCGCGUAAAUUGCCCAAUGGUAACACUUAACCGAGGCAGCGAAGAGAAAUAGCAGGAUUACUCGGCACUGCCGUGUAAUCACUGCAAUGGACGAUAUGUAAAUGUGUCGAUGAGUAUCAAUUGGAGGACAAGUCUGGUGCCAGCACCCGCGGUAAUUCCAGCUCCAAUAGC
rnacentral:rRNA from 1 species